GACGAACGCUGGCGGCGUGCUUAACACAUGCAAGUCGAACGGAAAGGCCCUGCUUUUGCGGGGUGCUCGAGUGGCGAACGGGUGAGUAACACGUGAGUAACCUGCCCUUGACUUUGGGAUAACUUCAGGAAACUGGGGCUAAUACCGGAUAGGAGCUCCUGCCGCAUGGUGGGGGUUGGAAAGUUUCGGCGGUUGGGGAUGGACUCGCGGCUUAUCAGCUUGUUGGUGGGGUAGUGGCUUACCAAGGCUUUGACGGGUAGCCGGCCUGAGAGGGUGACCGGCCACAUUGGGACUGAGAUACGGCCCAGACUCCUACGGGAGGCAGCAGUGGGGAAUAUUGCACAAUGGGCGGAAGCCUGAUGCAGCAACGCCGCGUGCGGGAUGACGGCCUUCGGGUUGUAAACCGCUUUCGCCUGUGACGAAGCGUGGGUGACGGUAAUGGGUAAAGAAGCACCGGCUAACUACGUG
rnacentral:rRNA from 1 species